rnacentral:rRNA from 1 species
AUUGAACGCUGGCGGCAUGCCUAACACAUGCAAGUCGAACGAGUGGCGGACGGGUGAGUAAUGUCGUGGCAACUGCCUGAUGGAGGGGGAUAACUACUGUAACCGGUAGCUAAUACCGCAUACCGUCAUAUGUGCCCAGGUGGGAUUAGCUAGUGGGUGGGGUAACGGCUCACCAAGGCGACGAUCCCUAGCCGGUCUGAGAGGGUGACCAGCCACACUGGAACUGAGACACGGUCCAGACUCCUACGGGAGGCAGCAGUGGGGAAUAUUGGACAAUGGGCGCAAGCCUGAUCCAGCCAUGCCGCGUGUAUGAAGAAGGUUUUCGGGUCGUAAAGUACUUUUGGCGGGGAGGCGGUACCUGAAGAAGAAGCCCCGGCUAACUCCGUGCCAGCAGCCGCGGUAAUUC